UACGUAGGGGGCAAGCGUUGUCCGGAUUUAUUGGGCGUAAAGAGCGUGUAGGCGGCCAGACAGGUCAGCUGUGAAACUCGAGGCUCAACCUCGAAACGUCGGUUGAAACCGUUUGGCUAGAGUCCGGAAGAGGAGAGUGGAAUUCCCGGUGUAGCGGUGAAAUGCGCAGAUAAUCGAGGAGGAACACCGGUGGCGAAGGCGGGUCUCUGGGCCGAUACUGACGCUGAGGAGCGAAAGCGUGGGGAGCGAACAGGA
rnacentral:rRNA from 1 species